UGAGUUGAAAUUUAGAGCGGACCUCACGUGUCAAAUUAUCUACCACCCAAAAAAUAUGGAUUUUUUUAAAAAAUUUCUAAUAUUUGUUUUGAUUUUUUUCUGAGCGUGCCUGCGGAUGACCUCGGGAGCCAAAACUCCGCUUACCCCUUAAAGAUCAACGCCACUAUAAAGGGUCUCUCCCGACUAUACAGUUAAAAAACGCGAACAGAGAGGCGACACGAGAGGGGGUUUCCCGGCGGGUCGCCGGCGGGCUCUGGGAAGUGGGCGAGAUCUCGGACGGCCGCACCGCGGUUGUAGAUAAUGGUGUUUUAGGACUUGAUUAUGGCAUUUGCGGGCAGGCGGGGCCGACGUCGACGCAGUGGAAUAUGGUUUCUCCGGUUCCUUCCCCGUCGUGGCUGUGCUCUCUCCGGCGGCGCUGCAGGGUUAGGGAGGUUGGUCUCUCUCUGGUUCGGGCAUCCGGCGAGGUUUGGUCGGUGAAGGGCGUGUACAGGAGUUGGGAUUUUGUGGAGAGGGAUUUCCAGAUCCGGUCACCGCGGACGACUGGCAGCUGCGGACUGUAGUGGGCGAAUGGUUGGAGCUACUGCUCCACUCCGGCGAAGGCUUGCGCUGGUGGCAGCUUCGAAAACAGGGGAAGGGGAGCACGAGGUCUACCCCUGGCUGAUGCACAGGAACCCGCCCCUUGUUCCCGUCCAUGGUUGUCUCGUGGACGACCACUCUUCCUCGCACUGGUGGAUGCAGAGAUCGGCGUGCCUCGGUAAAGGAAGAUGAACUGGGCUGUAAGUUGCUUUGUUUUCUCUGAUGACAUUGAUUCCCUUUUGUGUUGUCUCUGGUUCUCAACCUCCAAGGACAUGGCCUUUUUUUUUGUGCUGCCCAUGGAGGCUAGCAGCGGCAGGACCUCCAUGAGUAGGCCGCGGAGGAUGUUUGCCGGUGGCGAGCUACUCGUUCCGGACGGCUCCGGUUCCAAGCUUUCGUCGAUUAGGAGCAUAUUUCGCGAGAUAAUCUCAUUCUAACAUGUCUCUGAUUAUGAUUUUUUCCUGUGGAUUUCAGGAUAUAGAAGGCAGUUUCGCAGUGGGGUCACUGACAAGCAAGUAUAUGUCUCUGCAGAGAAAUAAGUCCUGGAGCAUGCUUUAGUGAAGACUACUGAUCCAGAAUUGGCCGUAUGUUCAUGAACAGUUUUCUGCUACUGAAAUAAGUCCUGGAGCAGGCUUCAGUGUGGACUACUGAUCUACAAGUCUUAUGUUGAUGAACAAUUUUAUGUUGCUCUGACUGAACGGAUUGUUGUAAUUUAGCCAAACAACAUGUCACCGUGCCACUACCUAGGUUUUUGCACAAUUUUUUUGUCUGUUUGGGUGGUGCCAAGCUGCCAAUAAAAGACAGGCUGUCUUCUUGUUACAAUUCAUGCCAUUCUUAUUAUGAUGUGUUGUGUCGAACAGGACGGUCUUUCAGCAAUGGUCAUGUCCAUUGUUUUCCCACAAUUACAUGAUCAAUCUAUAAAGUGGAAUCUGCUACACUGGUAA